rnacentral:rRNA from 1 species
UACGUAGGGUGCAAGCGUUGUCCGGAAUUAUUGGGCGUAAAGAGCUCGUAGGCGGUCUGUUGCGUCGGCUGUGAAAACCCGGGGCUCAACCCCGGGCCUGCAGCCGAUACGGCAGACUAGAGUUCGGCAGGGGAGACUGGAAUUCCUGGUGUAGCGGUGAAAUGCGCAGAUAUCAGGAGGAACACCGAUGGCGAAGGCAGGUCUCUGGGCCAUUACUGACACUGAGAAGCGAAAGCAUGGGGAGCGAACAGG